UACGGAGGGUGCAAGCGUUAAUCGGAAUUACUGGGCGCAAAGCGCACGCAGGCGGUUUAUUAAGUUAGAUGUGAAAUCCCCGGGCUUAACCCGGGGAUGGCAUCUAAGACUGGUAAGCUAGAGGCUUGUAGAGGGGGGUAGAAUUCCAGGUGUAGCGGUGAAAUGCGUAGAUAUGUGGAGGAACACCGGUGGCGAAGGCGGCCCCCUGGACAAAGACUGACGCUCAGGUGCGAAAGCGUGGGGAGCAAACAGG
rnacentral:rRNA from 1 species